rnacentral:rRNA from 1 species
CCUACGGGUGGCAUCAGUGGGGAAUAUUGCACAAUGGGGGAAACCCUGAUGCAGCGACGCCGCGUGAGUGCAGACGUAUUUCGGUAUUUAAAGCUCUUUCAGCAGGGGAGACAAGUACGGUACCUAACCAAUAAGCCACGGCUAACUACGUGCCAGCAGCCGCGGUAAUACGGCGGGGGCAAGCGUUAUCCGGCUUUACUGGGUGUAAAGGGAGCGUAGACGGCAGGGCAAGUCUGUAGUGAAAGGCGGGGGCUCAACCCCCGGACUGCUGUGGAAACUGGCAGGCUGGAGUGCAGGAGAGGUAAGUGGAAUUCCUGGUGUAGCGGUGAAAUGCGUAGAUAUCAGGAGGAACACCAGUGGCGAAGGCGGCUUACUGGACUGUAACUGACGUUGAGGCUCGAAAGUGUGGGGAGCAAACAGGAUUAGAUACCCCAGUAGUC